UACGUAGGCAGCAAGCGUUGUUCGGAAUUAUUGGGCGUAAAGAGUAUGUAGGUGGUGUCGUAAGUUUGGUGUGAAAUCUCCUGGCUUAACUGGGAGGGUGCGCCGAAGACUGCGAUGCUUGAGUAUGGGAGAGGGAAUCGGAAUUCCUGGUGUAGCGGUGAAAUGCGUAGAUAUCAGGAGGAACACCUGUGGUGUAGACGGGUUCCUGGACCAUUACUGACACUGAGAUACGAAAGCGUGGGUAGCAAACAGGAUUAGAUACCCUGGUAGUCCACGCCCUAAACGAUGCACACUUGGUGUGAGCCAUUCAGUUGGUUUGUGCCGGAGCUAACGCGUUAAGUGUGCCGCCUGGGGAGUACGGUCGCAAGGCUG
rnacentral:rRNA from 1 species